rnacentral:rRNA from 1 species
GGCGUUAUAUAUGACCCGACUAGCAGCUUCCGGGAAACCAAAGUUUUUCGUUUCCGGGGGAAGUAUGGUUGCAAAGCUGAAACUUAAAGGAAUUGACGGAAGGGCACCACCAGGAGUGGAGCCUGCGGCUUAAUUUGACUCAACACGGGAAAACUCACCCGGCCCGGACACCGUAAGGAUUGACAGACUGAGAGCUCUUUCUUAAUUCGGUGGGUGGUGGUGCAUGGCCGUUCUUAGUUGGUGGAGCGAUUUGUCUGGUUAAUUCCGAUAACGAACGAGACUCUGGCCUAUUAAAUAGACGAUUUAUUUCACAGUAUAUCGAACUUCUUAGAGGGACAAGCGGCGUCUAGCCGCAUGAAAUAGAGCAAUAACAGGUCUGUGAUGCCCUUAGAUGUCCGGGGCUGCACGCGCGCUACACUGAAAGAAUCAGUGGGCGUGUCUCCUAGUUCGGAAGAACUGGGUAACCCAAGUAAAUUCUUUCGUGCUUGGGAUAGGGAAUUGCAAUUAUUUCCCUUAACGAGGAAUUCCCAGUAAAUGCGGGUCAUAAGCUCGCGUUGAUUACGUC